GGUUGCUUAGCUCAGUGGUUAGAGCAGCUCUGGUGCAAUCACUAGAAUGUCCUGGGUUCAAUCCCCAGAGCCACCG